rnacentral:tmRNA from 1 species
GUCUGGUCUCGACGGGGUAGUUGAGCUUCGGGAUUGCGAGCCGAGGGCGCGAGCGUCACAGCGCAGCGUUAACAAACGCCAAGAAGACACCCGCUUUCGCUUUUGCUGCGUAAGCAGUAAAGGUGUAAGCCCCGGGACUUAGAUCCCGGGCGUCGCCCCGGUCAAUCCGGCGGAUCGGGCAGCGGCGUCACACAGACCGGAUUGCCGCUCCAGGGGCGUCGCGGCCCUGGGGCGGGACAUGCACCGCGGCUGGCAGAAGCGGAUCCCGUCGAGAGGAGCCGUCAAGCGAGAACCAAAAUCUCGGACACGCUCGUAGAGAUCCCGGGGGAAGCUGCUUCGGACGCGGGUUCAAUUCCCGCCGCCUCCACCA